UAUACAUAACCAUUACUGACCCAUUUUUAAGUUUUAGGGCGAACUGUCGUUACUAAUAAAAACUGGCACUCAUUGUUCUUCGUCUUUGUUUCUCUCUUUAUCUCAGCAACCUGCACCAUUGGGUUUUAUAGAAUACAAUCGUGUUGUUGUGCCAAGUAGCUGUGCAGUUGGCUACUCAAAGGAUAAUCAAGUAAGCCCGGAUACCGUGUGUUAUGGAUCCGAUAACACUGAUUGAUUUUUGGAUUCGAGCCAUCAAUCUAGUUAGUUUGCUACUUAGAGAUGGAAAUGGGUGAGUUGGGACAUCAAUGGAAAUGGGUGAGUUAGGACAUCAAUGUUUAGAAAGCAGCAGUUGAUAUUUGAAAUGGUUAUCCCUUAAUACGCAGAAUGAAGACGAGAUUUUAUAUAUUUAUGGCGAAAAGAGGAUAUGCGAUGAAUCAUAUAGCCUUACGCAUCCUAGGAGAAGGAGACAAUGAUGGUGUUGGUGUAAUAAAUAUAGUACGUAGCACUACAUUCUAUAUCAUAGAAUGUUAUGUAACAAUCGUUUUCUAUUUUUUAUGUUUUCAGCUUAGCUAUUGGAUGCUGCAAACACAAGUGUUUCCCUUUGUUGUGACGAUCUUUGGCAGGCUCGGUCGGAUACCCCAAUCAGUUGUGAGUACGGUGUAUUGAGAGGAGUUAUUGUGGAGGAGAAGUAAUGAGCAUUAUGCCCUUUUGUUUUGUAGUGCACACCAUUUUGUUUGCUGAAAAACUGCUUAAGUACUCCAAGUCUCUGUAGAUGAGCAGCUUGAGAAUACUUCGCCUGAUGCACCCGUUUUACCUCCUGCUAUUGAAGCACUAAUUCACACAAAACACGUGGAUGAUUAUUACAUCAAGAAUGUUAGCAGCAACCCAUAAUUGGAAAAUAUAUUGUGUAAUGUUAACCAAUUGUUUUAAACAUGUGACCUGUGAUUCUAAGCAUAUGUUUAUUAUUUGUUUAGGAUUUUUCCUUUAAUUUGGGAUAUCUUUAAUUAGAAUUUGUGGAUUCAAUGGGUCAAAAGUUUCUUUUGAGUUUUGA